UACGGGGGGAGCAAACGUUGUUCGGAAUCACUGGGCGUAAAGGGCGCGUAGGCGGCCAGAUAAGUGGGGUGUUAAAUCUCCCGGCUCAACCGGGAACCUGCACCUCAUACUGCCUGGCUUGAGUACAGCAGAGGAGACUGGAAUUCCCGGUGUAGCGGUGAAAUGCGUAGAUAUUAGGAAGAACACCAGUGGCGAAGGCGGCUCACUGGCCCGGUACUGACGCUGAGGCGCGAAAGCGUGGGGAGCAAACAGG
rnacentral:rRNA from 1 species